AACAUACUCUUUUUUACAUAGUCCUAGAGACAGUUUUAUCUCUUAGACUACAAUAGUUAUUAGGAAGAACUUUAUUACAUACAUUAUCGUUGGAUAAGUUACGCAUAUGUAUGCAUACAAUUGUAUUAUUUUGUAGUAAUAUUGUUUUUAUGGGCAAUAAAUAUAUUUUGUAUUGUAUUGUGAAUUUAGUUUUAAUAAAAAAAUUACAAAAGUCGACAGAGAAAGUCGUUCUGACAACUGAUAACAAUUUUUGUAUGAAUACAACGAAAAUAAAUAAAAUUACUUUGUGCACAUAUGUAUCAAGUAAAAAUCUUACAAUUUCGUUGCGGGCUAUGACCGCGCUCUGCGUUACACCGUACGCUAUGCCACUAUGGACCAAUCACAUAUGGACCAAUGGUGGGCUUAUUGCUAAGCGAUUUCUUCCAGCCAGCUUUUGGGUAGUGAGAGAGGAUGGGCACGUGGUGGACGCAAUAUUGGGUGGUUCUCCGAGCGUUUCGACCGCUGCCGGAAAAUUAACGGAUCAUAAUCCGUCAAUUUUCUUGAGGAAGGAAUCAUUUCCAAAAGCAAUCAAUCAUUCAUAAAAUUUACAUUAUACCACAUAACAGAUUAAGGAUUUUGAGGUAAGAUACAUAAACUGAUAAACUGAUUUUUGUGUUUGUUAAAAUUUGAAAAAUUGCAAAAACGCGCGGCCGCAUCGGUCGAAACCACGGAAAAAUAGUAAUGCGUAUGAGAACCGCUGUCAACAAAUUCGCAAAUUUAUAUUUUACGUAAGUAGUACACUGAAAAUUAUCCAAUGAGAACGGGCAUAAGUACACCCGAAGUCUGUGGACUGAUUACUGGAAUUGGAUCGAUCAGUGCCCUUCAGUUUCAAUAUAAUAACGCGUUUAGGGUACUGUUGAGGCUGCCACAAUAUGAUGUUGCAGUACAUCUGUAUGUUUGCGGAUGCAAUGGAUUUACGCUGUGCUUUCAAACGGACACGUAAUCUUACAGCAGAUCGGUUUGUCCUGAAAAUGUUAGGGUUUGUUUCCUGAAAUUAAAAAACUACAUUCACGUGGUCGAUCUGCGGACAGAAAGUACUAUUUACUAUUAUAUAAAAUUAAAGGCUGUCCUGCUUGUUUCAUUUAUUACUUCCUUAUUAUGUCCUCUGUAUAAAAUGAAGAUGCAAGCGGGACAUUACGCAGAUUAGAGAGUUUCGAUGAAUAUUUGACGACCUCGGUGGCGAAGUGGUAAAGUGCUUGCCUCUGAACCGAGAGGUCCCGGGUUCGAUCCCCGGUCGGGUCAUGAUGGAAAAUGAUCUUUUUCUGAUUGGCCCGGGUCUUGGAUGUUUAUCUAUAUAUGUAUUUGUUAUAAAAUAUAGUAUCGUUGAGUUAGUAUCCCGUAACACAAGUCUCGAACUUACUUUGGGGCUAGCUCAAUCGGUGUGAUUUGUCCUAAUAGAUUUAUUUAUUUAGUAUGAAAAUAAAAUAAUUUAUUUUAUAUAUUUUUA